rnacentral:rRNA from 1 species
GACGAACGCUGGCGGCGUGCCUAAUACAUGCAAGUAGAACGCUGAAGGAGGAGCUUGCUUCUCUGGAUGAGUUGCGAACGAGUGAGUAACGCGUAGGUAACCUGCCUGGUAGCGGGGGAUAACUAUUGGAAACGAUAGCUAAUACCGCAUAAGAGUAGAUGUCGCAUGACAUUUGCUUAAAAGGUGCAAUUGCAUCACUACCAGAUGGACCUGCGUUGUAUUAGCUAGUUGGUGAGGUAACGGCUCACCAAGGCAACGAUACAUAGCCGACCUGAGAGGGUGAUCGGCCACACUGGGACUGAGACACGGCCCAGACUCCUACGGGAGGCAGCAGUAGGGAAUCUUCGGCAAUGGACGGAAGUCUGACCGAGCAACGCCGCGUGAGUGAAGAAGGUUUUCGGAUCGUAAAGCUCUGUUGUAAGAGAAGAACGAGUGUGAGAGUGGAAAGUUCACACUGUGACGGUAUCUUACCAGAAAGGGACGGCUAACUACGUG